UAGCUCCCCUUUAGCCAGUCUUCACCUAGUGACCUUCAAAUGGGGAUGUAGAACUCUCCGUUCCUCCUGCACCGUGCCUGCCUGGACACUGCCAAGCUCCUGCCUUGAUGAUACUGGACUGAACCUCUGAACCUGAUGCUGCUAGCUGCCAGAGUGAUUGGUGAGACAUGCAGAUGCUGGGACAAAGAAUGAAGCAGACCUGUGAGCUUGCUCAGUGCCCUGACAAUGGAGACAGGAAAGUUGUUUUGGACAUAUGUUCCUGACCCACCUUUGCUUGCCUAUAUCCCAGAUUGGACAAGCUUCCUUGCUUCAAGCUUUUAGACUUUGUGGGACAGAAAACAUGGAGACUGGAAACCGACUUUAAAAACUUAAUAAAAAAGAGAAGGUAUGAUGACUCUUCUCUUCCCUUUUAUGUGACCAGUUAUUCUGACUCAAUCAUGGACUGCUCUAUAAAUCAAUCCAAUACUGGAAAUAACAGUCUUCAUUUGGAAGGCUGGUUCUGGACGUUUUUAGAGACAUACUUGAAAGUUAGCUGCAGUUCUCUGAUGCUAUGUUAGCAAUAGAUUGGGACAGGAUCUAGUUUUCAAAGAAAUAUUAGUGCUUAGCUCCUGAUCGUUUAUUAAUUGGUCAUGUUGAAAUUACUUUGUUUCUUCCACAGUAUUUAAUGUAAGUUGUAUUGAUUAUGCACUUUCUAAUUGUGUUAGUGUGUUGAAACCUGGCAUGUCUGUUAUGGUGGUCUAUCAACCAGUUUUUGUUUUAUUGCCUGUGAAUAUUACAGGGCCUUGGUAUCCUGAAAAAAGCUUGCAGGUACUGGAAGAAGUGAGUCGGGCUCUAAGCAGAAACAAGAGGAUAGUGGGCUUCAUUAUUGCUGGUAUAGCAGCUUUAAUUAAGCUAGUAGCUAGUACCACUGCUGCAAUUGCUUUGACACAAGACGUUUAGAUAGCUACUUUUGUUAAUCAUUUAGCAAAAAAUGUUACUAAUGUCCUGAGUAUUCAAGAGGAUUUAGACAGGCAUUGGAAACAAUGGAUUGAUGUUCUUUAUGAUGCUAUUCAAAUUAUUAGAUAGGAGGUUCAGUGCUUAAGAGUAGGAAAUCAUCUUGAUUGUCAUGCUAAAUGGAUUUAUGUUCCUUCUAAAAUUUAACAAUGAUAGUCACUAUAAUUGGCAGAAGGUUCAAAGACACUUGUAGGGUGUUUGGCAUAUAAGUCCAACACCUCUCUGGAUAUUUUAACUUUGAAUAGUGAGAUUAUGAAUUUAAGGAAUGCUGCUCUGCUGAGCUUUGAUGUUACAGAUAUUGCUGGUAGAAUUAUUCAUGGCCUGAGGUCAGUAUUUCCAUCUUGGUCAAGCUUCAAGAAUGACAUAUAUGGCUUGAUCAUGCUAGCCCUUCUUGUGCUAGGAAUACUUUUAUUCCUGCCCAUAGUGUUAAAGCUUGCCUUUUACAACAUCAACAUGUUAGUGGUCCAAGUACAUGGCUUGAAACUAAGAAUGAAUCCCCAAACAGAGUUAUUAAUUUAACAGGCUGGCAAGCCAAGGGAGGGUAAGAUUCUGCACAAGGGCCUUGCCAACCUAAGACAAAGGCAUGUGCCAACAGGCCAUGUUUGUUUAUAGUGAACACUAAAAGUCCAUGUUUGUUUAUAUGACACAAACAAGCUGUGCAUGUCUUGAAGAUGGGUACAGAAGUCAUUCUUGUCAGGACAACCUAAGACAGGCUCAGCCUUAUUUAUUAAAUUUAAAGAGGGGAGCUGUGAAGAGCCUUUUUGGGGUGCCACUUGGCAGGAGUCUGACACUGGCCAAGGACAAGAAAAUGGGCUUCAGACAGGAAUAUGACCUUGGCUAUGACAAGGAAGUAAGCUCAGGCAGAAAUCUGACAUUAGGGCAUAGUAAGUUUCGGCAAGAAUCUAACUUUAGGCUAUAAUAGGGAAGUAGGGUAAGGUAGGAAUUUUAAUCUUAGGGUGCAACAAAAGAAGUAGACUUCAGGCAAGAUUUUUGGCUUGGACAAGGAAGUGAUCUUAAGUAUUUUGGUCAUUAUUACAAGCCCUUUUAAACAACUGUCAUGGGAGUAAUCACGGGACUUUGCUUACUGCCUUGCUAGUUCCUUAUUGUACUGCUCACCCUUAAUACUUGCAUGUAAUUAAAAUGGUAUAAAAAGAGGAUUGGG
ensembl:lincRNA 9830004L10Rik RIKEN cDNA 9830004L10 gene